rnacentral:rRNA from 1 species
AUGAUAUGCUUCUUCGCAGUCGAGUGGCACUUUGUAGACCGUGUGGCAAGACAAUUUGGAAAAAGACAAGGUAUUCCAAUUGAGGAGAGCAAGGAGGAAAUGCUAUCUCUGCAUCGGUUCGAUCGAAGGAACAAUCAAGAUAUAUCGGAUUGGGCAAACAAACACCGUGCGUGGAUAGAAAUUUGGAAUCAAAGAGAUACGUUAGUGCAAUCAGAGAAUAGACCUCACAAUCAGUCAGCAUAUCAGAAGUAUCAAGUGUGGUAUGCGGAUCGUUACCGGUUAAAGCUGAAGCCAGGUUGGACUCACGAGGAGUGGUCGGAGUUGGUGUCUGAAGACCCGGAGACUGCAGAAGGUUAUCAUACCUUCAACACGGCUGUGAGAGACACCAGAGGGGCUCAUGUUGACUACGCACCGAUGCAUGACGAAAUGGUAGUCUGUUUGACCUAUUCUAACAUACUUGCAUCAUGUUGUCUUCUUUCAAAUACAUAA